GAUGAAGAACGUAGUGAAAUGCGAUAAGCAAUGUGAAUUGCAGAAUUCAGUGAAUCAUCGAAUCUUUGAACGCACAUUGCGCCCGCUAGUAUUCUGGCGGGCAUGCCUGUCCGAGCGUCAUUUCAACCCUCAAGCCCCCGGGCUUGGUGUUGGGGAUCGGCGAGCCUCCGCGCCCGCCGUCCCCUAAAUCUAGUGGCGGUCUCGCUGUAGCUUCCUCUGCGUAGUAGCACACCUCGCACUGGGAAACAGCGCGGCCACGCCGUUAAACCCCCAACUUCUGAACGUUUGACCUCGGAUCAGGUAGGAAUACCCGCUGAACUUAAGCAUAUCAAUAAGCGGAGGA
rnacentral:misc_RNA from 1 species